UACGUAGGGGGCAAGCGUUGUCCGGAUUUAUUGGGCGUAAAGAGCGUGUAGGCGGCCAGACGAGGUCGUUGAUGAAACUAGAGGCUUAACCUCUAGACGUCGAUGGAAACCGUCUGGCUAGAGUCCGGAAGAGGAGAAUGGAAUUCCUGGUGUAGCGGUGAAAUGCGCAGAUAUCAGGAAGAACACCCGUGGCUAAGGCGGUUCUCUAGUACGGUACUGACGCUGAGACGCGAAAGCGUGGGGAGCGAACAGG
rnacentral:rRNA from 1 species